rnacentral:rRNA from 1 species
CAGCAGCCACGGUAAUACGAAGGGGGCUAGCGUUGUUCGGAUUUACUGGGCGUAAAGCGCACGUAGGCGGACUUUUAAGUCAGGGGUGAAAUCCCGGGGCUCAACCCCGGAACUGCCUUUGAUACUGGAAGUCUUGAGUAUGGUAGAGGUGAGUGGAAUUCCGAGUGUAGAGGUGAAAUUCGUAGAUAUUCGGAGGAACACCAGUGGCGAAGGCGGCUCACUGGACCAUUACUGACGCUGAGGUGCGAAAGCGUGGGGAGCAAACAGGAUUAGAUACCCGUGUAGUCCCUGUCUCUUAUCC